rnacentral:rRNA from 1 species
CCCUUAGAUGUUCUGGGCAGCACGCACGCUACAACGGUCUUCGCAAACGGAUGCAUUCUCGAAGGAGAAUGCCAAUCUUGGAAUCUAUGCCUUGGUCGGGACAGUUGCUUGCAAUUUUUCGACUCGAACCAGGAAUUCCUUGUAAUCGUGAUUCAUCACAUCACGAUGAAUACGUCCCUGCCCUUUGUACACACCGCCCGUCGCUCCUACCGAUCGAAGAGUUAGGUGAAUUGUUUUGAUCGAUAAGAUUUGACUAUGGUCAACUCUCGUUGUGAAAUUCUGUGAAUCUGACUGUUUAGAGGAAGGAAAAGUCGUAACA